rnacentral:tRNA from 1 species
GCUUUCGUAGUCUAGUGGUCAGUACAUUCGGCCCGUAUUCGAGAGGUCCGGGGUUCGAGUCCCGGCGAAGGCA